rnacentral:rRNA from 1 species
GACGAACGCUGGCGGCGUGCCUAAUACAUGCAAGUAGAACGCUGAAGAGAGGAGCUUGCUCUUCUUGGAUGAGUUGCGAACGGGUGAGUAACGCGUAGGUAACCUGCCUUGUAGCGGGGGAUAACUAUUGGAAACGAUAGCUAAUACCGCAUAACAAUGGAUGGCACAUGUCAUUUAUUUGAAAGGGGCAAUUGCUCCACUACAAGAUGGACCUGCGUUGUAUUAGCUAGUAGGUGAGGUAAUGGCUCACCUAGGCGACGAUACAUAGCCGACCUGAGAGGGUGCUCGGCCACACUGGGACUGAGACCCGGCCCAGACUCCUACGGGAGGCAGCAGUAGGGAAUCUUCGGCAAUGGGGGCAACCCUGACCGAGCAACGCCGCGUGAGUGAAGAAGGUUUUCGGAUCGUAAAGCUCGGUUGUAAGUCAAGAACGGGUGUGAGAGUGGAAAGUUCACACUGUGACGGUAGCUUACCAGAAAGGGACGGCUAACUACGUG